AAUUUUCGGCAAUGGGGGCAACCCUGACCGAGCAACGCCGCGUGAACGACGAAGUACUUCGGUAUGUAAAGUUCUUUUAUAUGGGACGAAAACUUAAAAAUUGACGGUACCAUAUGACUAAGCCCCGGCUAACUAUAUGCCAGCAGCCACGGUAAUACAUAGGGGGCGAACGUUAUCCGGAUUUACUGGGCGUAAGGGGUGCGUAGGCGGUUAUAAAGGUUUGUGGUGUAAGUGCAGUGCUUAACGGUGUGAUGCUAUGAAAACUAUAUAACUAGAGUGAGACAGAGGCAAGUGGAGUUCCAUGUGUAGCGGUAAAAUGCGUAAAUAUAUGGAGGAACACCAGUGGCGAAGGCGGCUUGCUGGGUCUAUACUGACACUGAUGCACGAAAGCGUGGGGAGCAAACAGG
rnacentral:rRNA from 1 species